UAGGGAAUCUUCGGCAAUGGACGGAAGUCUGACCGAGCAACGCCGCGUGAGCGAAGAAGGUUUUCGGAUCGUAAAGCUCUGUUGUUAGAGAAGAACGUUGGUAGGAGUGGAAAAUCUACUAAGUGACGGUAACUAACCAGAAAGGGACGGCUAACUACGUGCCAGCAGCCGCGGUAAUACGUAGGUCCCGAGCGUUGUCCGGAUUUAUUGGGCGUAAGGCGAGCGCAGGCGGUUCUUUAAGUCUGAAGUUAAAGGCAGUGGCUUAACCAUUGUACGCUUUGGAAACUGGAGGACUUGAGUGCAGGAGGGGAGAGUGGAAUUCCGUGUGUAGCGGUGAAAUGCGUAGAUAUAUGGAGAAACACCGGUGGCGAAAGCGGCUCUCUGGUCUGUAACUGACGCUGAGGCUCGAAAGCGUGGGGAGCAAACAGG
rnacentral:rRNA from 1 species